UUUCAUUUUGUAAAAUGGGCUCAACCUAAUCCAAGGUGACCUUGCUUGAUGUCUGCUAUAAGAAAGAGAGGAAUUUCUUUUUGCAUGUGCCUCCUUCUUUGUUGCUCAUGGAGAUAUCCCAGAGGACUAGCUUUGAGUAGAUAACAGAUGUACAGGCCAUUGAAGAUAGAUGAGAAGAACCUCAGCCUAAGAGAAUUUUCAUAGUUCUUUUGGUUGAGUUGGAUUUCUGGAAGUCACCUUCUUCCCCAGGCAGGACUAUUUUCAAGGCUAGAUCAGGUUGCUCAGGGCCUUUUUCUUUUCGUCUGUAAGCACCAAUAAAGAGCAAGAAAUCUACAUUACCUUCCUUAAUACUUUAGCUGGUGUAUCUUCUGCUGGAAUCAUCAUCUUUUGUAAUUAAUUUGGCCCAAAAAUAGCUUUACCUGAUCAAAUGUAUUGGGAGCUUUCUAAAGAUGUAUUUUAGGGACACAAAAACAAAUCUGUUAGCAAGGACAAAGUGUGCACCUACAUAUGAGCAGCAGUCCCCCCAAAGAGCCAGAAAACCAAAUUAAGAACUAUUAUCCAUCAGGACCACUCUGUCCAGGGCUCUUGGCUAUUUGCAGCACCCAUGACAGAGCACAUUCUCAAUCACCAUGUAGCACUUGGAAGUCCACCGAAGGAAAUCGGCACUUUUCCUGUCGCUUAGCUGGCUAAACUGGAUUUUAAAACAGUUCAGUUCUACUGACUGUGUUAAAUGCGAGCAAUGACCUUCUGGGACAGCAGAACUUUUGUAGUAGUGGCUGGUGUUUUUUAAGAAAGCUAAAGUAAAGAAAUAGCUGAAAGCAAAGAGGCUCAGACUCUGGAGUCCAGACUCCUGAGGGAUUGUGGAUUGCUCCUGAAACUUCAACUACAACAGGGAGGAGAACAAGUUUAUUGUCAAGGGGCUUGAUUAUCCAUCUGUUGUUGGUAGGGAUCAUCCAUGUUUUAGAAAAUGUGUAUGGAUAUUCAAAUUGUAAGCAGUUGAAAGCCAUUGAUGUGGCAUUGUGGAGAGGAACAAAAGUUUAGUAGCUUGGUUUCCCAAAGGCUAGAUUCUCCAUCUCUACAAGCAGAGACACAAAGGUUUGAAGCACUGGCCUUUUCAGCUGUCUUGGAUUCCCUCAGGACGUGUAAUGUGCAAAUACGUCGUUGGCUGGAAGCUGCUGGGAGUAACAUACAGAAGUAAAUAGAUACGACACUGAAAAACUAAAACAGUUUUUUUAUGUGGGGAAGUAAUUUAUUGUGAAGAAAUUGGCUGGACCAAUGCUGGAGUUCAGACUGGUGAUCUCUUUCUCUGACUGUAUCUUUUUCUUCCUCUUCCCUUCCUCCAACUCUCUCUUUUGUUUCUUUUUCCUUUGUAAAGUUGUUAAGUAAUGCAAAGUUUCAACUUCUUAUAAAGUCAUAUAGUUUAGCUGCACAUCUUAAAUAGAUGUAGUUGCAAGAGUGCCAAUACUUUUAAGAUAAUUGCAGUACAGAAAUUCUCAUUAAAGUUAAUGAUUGUGUCUGGACCUUGAGUGUCAGUUUCAUGUUAAUCUAACCAGGGGGAUUUUUCAAAUCUGGUCACCAUCUCUCCCUUUACAGGCAGAAUGUGACAACCACCAAACUGGUUCCAGAUUUUCUGCAGUUGACCUGAUGAGUCGUAAGGCAAAAAAUAAAUAAAUAAAAGAAUGUGAGAGAUGUUUAUGAACAACACAGGAAAGUUGAAGAAUCAGGAUGUCAGCACCAACUAGAGGGCAGACACCAGACAAGGUAACUUUUCUAGACAGCGCAUUUUGAAAGGAGGACAUCAGCACCAGAAGAUGUUUUGGAAACCAGAAUCAAACACAAAUUUUAAAAGGAUGGAUUAUUGCAAGGGAGGGAGUCCCAGAAAGAGCUGUUGAACACAGUGAUAGGAAUGCAACCUCUCUUUCAAAAAAGCCCUUAAGCUGCAGAUGGCUGGGCAAGUAGGCUGAAGGAAGUGGUUCUGGUUCUCCUCUUCCUUCUCACAGCAUUGGCUGCUGCCAGAGGCAGGAUAGCAGGCUAGUUGAAACUUUGCUCUUUUUUUCCCAGUUGAUUCUUCUUGUGUUCUAAGUAGUGCUAGCCUGCAUAUAGGUGAAAUAGUGCUAAGUAGUCUGGCUAAUCAUGCACAGCACUCUGUAUAGUCUCAGGCCUUCUAGAUGCAGGUCUGUGUUGGAUGUUAUUUAGGGUGUUAGCAUGUAAUUGUGCUGCAGCCUUUCCCCUGAGCCUUGUCUCCAUACAGUACAAACCUGAGACUCUCCUUCCACAACCAGGUGUCUUCAGGCUCAAGGUGCAGCAGCUGGCCCAAACUGAGGGGCAGGUUGAGGCAGAUGAGGAGAAGAAAGGGGAGAGAGAUGAUGAUGUAGCUGGGGCAGUGCCGUAUGGAUUAUUAGGCCUGCGGCUUUGCAGUCUGACUGCUUUCAAAUGAAAGCAUUUUUUAGUUUGUUCCAGGUUUAAGCCAGAUAUAAACAGGAAAUUAAUGAUACCAGUGCCAUUAUUGACUCCUUCCUUAUUAUUUCUGUUCUGUGCUUUAAAAAUGUUAACCUAACCUGCAAGAAGAUGAGACAGUGCACAGCAGAUCUUCAGAAUUACUGGGAUUCUGAAAUAAGCUGCAUGGGUUUGAAAUACUAAAAAAGUUGUUAGUAUCUUUCCAUUUGUGUUUCAGAGCAGAAUUAAAGACCCCUGUACAUGAUACAGAUGUCACCGAAAGGCUGCACACUGUUGUUUUUCUUGCACUCAGACUCUACCUGGUGCAUCUCACAGACCAACUCAGGCUGUUUGUCACAGUGAUGGACCCCCUGGAGAUACCAGGCAGCCCUGCACAAGCUGCAGUUUAUACCUUCCUCAUUUGUACAAUUUUCAGACAAGCCAUACUGCAUAAUCCUUUUGUCAUCUGUUCUCAGCCUAUACACAGCAUGCUACAGAAAAAUGGCAGUCACAAAUCACUAAAAUCCCUGAGACUGGCAAAACUUAGGUUAAUUCCUGGGGUGUCUUUUUUCCCCAUAGAAAAGAUAGAGGAGGCUCCUAAGCUGCGACUGCUGCCGCCAUCCUUGAGAGCUAGGUCUGCACCAGCAUUGCUCUCCAACUUAUAACUGAUGGGAGCAGGAAGGAGAGUGGCUUUGAUAGGGCUGCUCCAGCUCUCUUAGUGCCAGGGCUGAAGAACCACAGGCUGGAUAUCUCAGGACUUUGAGAGGAUCAUCACAUGUCAUGUGUUGUGCAAAUGUCUUAUGCCUUCUCUUCCAUGUAGGAUCUCUUUUGAUCAGACAAGUAAGUUCCAGGAAAUCCAUUAACUGUCAUACAAUUCUGAGACAUAUUUUUUGUGAAUGUUAUCCCAAUGCUUUUAAAAGCACCAUUAUUUCUCUCAAUACAAUCAACCUAGAGUCAACUUCAUGUUACUCUUCCUUGCCCCAUGUUGGGACUUCAGGUUUCUGAUAGCCAGCAAAUGGGAAGGGGAUGUGUGGAACCUGUAUCUCUGACACUCGUAUCCCUCUGUCAGAAAUCCUCAAGGUUUAUCUAAGAGAAGAAGCUCCUCUGUAAUAACCUAAUGAGGCUGUAUGUUCCUGUGGAAGCCAGCAGGACCCCGGCUUCACUCUGUGCCUUGGGCUGAUGCUGUUCUCUGGAGCAGCUGUGUCGUGGCUCUGCCUCCCCCAGCUGUGAGCUCCUUCCUAUCUGUGGCCUGGGCUCCUGUUCACAGCUUCCCUUCCCAAGCUCUUUGCAUCUUCUGCUUUCCUUCUGCUUUUCCUUCUGCAUCAGCAAGUCAUGCAAAGGAAAAUCUUCAUUACCGUUUUGGGGUUCUGUUUAACUUUGGUUCACUGGAGAGAAAGUAGAGCAUCCUUUCUGCGGGAGAGAAAUAGGGCAGCCUUCAAUGCACAUCCCCUUCAUGGAUAGUGUCAUUCCAGGCAUUUGCUUCUUUUGCUUCUUUUCUCUGGCCUUCUUGAUUUGUAGUGCAUUUUAAGUUUACUGAUACAUAAAGAAGUGCGAUUGUUCUUCUACUGUUCAAGAAAAGGAUGUUUGGCUGCUCCAUUCACAGAUUGCUUCUAAGACACUCUGGGUGCUUCUUUUAAUUCCAGUUAAGCCUUGGACUCCUGGUACACAGCACAAGACAGAAUCUAAUUAUUGAAAUAAUUAUUAUUGCCUUCUGUGGCUCACUGUGGUUUUUAAAACCCUGAGCCACAUUUGGAGUCCCACCUCUGGUCCCUGCUGGCAUCAGUGGGCAGUGAUUGCAGUCUGUCAGCCCAGGAACAACAUGACUGCAGUUAUCUGCAAUGAGUUACUCAUUUAAAGUUGUCCUGGUAUAUUUUUGACCCUGAAAAGAAUAUAUGACAGCAGAAUGCUUUCCACUCUUCAGUCAUUGCAUUGUGAUUUUUGUGGGCUGUUUCUUUGAGAAAAUGGUAUUUUUUUCCGCCUCUUCUGAGGAAUCUGGUACCACCUGAGAUUGAGGUUGGGCUACACAGGACUAAUGAGAACUGCCUUUUUUUCUUCUGUGACACUCCUCGUAGGAGUGGAAAUACAAAAGUAUUCAAGCGAUCAUUGGUCAUGAUUAUUCUGCAAAAACUAUUUUGAAACUACCAAUUUCAAAGAGAGAAAAAAUCAUCUCCUUUUAUUUUUUUUUAUCAAACAUCUGGCAAUUUAAAAGUGAAGAUAUAGAAGAUACAUAUUAGACAAGUGUUAAAAGUUUUUCAUUCAGAUGUUAUUUAUAUGCAGCACCUUUAGUUCUAGCUUGACUCAUUACCAUUCUUUUAGUCUGUGGCUAGAACUAUGAGGGCUGCUCUGAAAGUAGUGCCUCCUUCUUCAUUAUGUUGGCCCAUGACAUCAGAGGCAGAUGUUGGUGGUAUGACAGUAGAGGUUGAACCUUCUUACCAACAUUCCAUUACGUGUUGUUGCCGUGUGACAGAUGGCAGCAGAGGGACAGUCGGCAAAAUGGUCUCUGACGUGGAAGGGCAUAUGAAGCAAAGGUGUGCCACUGAAUUCCUCCGUGUGGAAAAAAUUGCAUGCAUUGACAUUCAUCAACACUUUCUGCACGUUUAUAGAGACCAAACAGUGCAUGUGAGCACAGUGAGGCAGUGGGGUGUGUAUCAACACCGGUGAAAUGAAGAACAAGCCAUGUUUCAGAUGGCUGUGCAUAGCUGUCACACCAUAAAAUGAAGAGUGUUUUGAUCAGUUCAUCAGCACAAAUUGGUAGAUUACAAGCAAUGCUUCCAUGCUUUGGAAACAAUUAUGGCAACACCGGAAUAUUACAAAGUUUGCUCCAGGUGGUUCCCACAAAUGCGCACACAGGAACAGAAGAAGCACUGUGUGCAAGUCUGUCAGGAUCUAUUGAACCAAUAUGAGGAUGAAGGUAACAGUUUCCUGGAUCACAUCAUUAAUGGUGAUGAGACGUGGUGUCGUCUCCAGAAGCCACAUUCAAAACAGAAGUCUGCCGAGUGGCAAUGUGAAUUCCCUAUCAAAGAAAAACUUCAAGAUGCAGCCCUCAGCAGGAGCUUGUUUUGUAGCAGUGUUUUGUAGCUGAGAGUUUGCUCUUUCAGAUAGCAUUAUUGUGCUUUUUCUAUCUGUUGUAAUUUUCAUGGAAAUAAAUAGUUUGGCUCCUGAAAGGUUUUAAAUUAUGUAUGGGUUAGCAUAUGUAUUUGCUGUGUUUAAAGAUGUUUUCAAUAUAUGUAUUUGACAGGAAACAAAUUCGUUACUCAUAUCUCCUCUUUUCCAAUGAAACCUGAAUGUUUUGAACUUUUCUACAUUCUCAGCCUUUUCUUAGUGGUUAAGUUAGAAUAGCAAAUGUUUGAAUUGGUUAUAAAGGUGUAUUUAGUAGAACAAUCAAAAGAUUGAGCAAGAAGGUGAGGACAGAGAUCCAAAUCCUCAUAUCUGGAUUUAAUGUCCAAGUGUCUGUCAAAUUGGAAUCUGGUUAUGAAAAGUUGAAUUUGGGGAGCAUGUCUUUCUCCUGUUAAGGCAAGUAUGGCAAUGUGGAGAUUAAGAUUUUUUUAGGAACGGUACUAUAGCUUUCUCUAUUAAACUAAUUACAGUCAUUUAGAAACCGUCUUGCAUAGUUCACAUAACUUGUUCUAGGCUGCUACCAACUGUCAUUGCUGGCUUGUCUGCCCUGAUGCAUCAGGCUGUAGAUGGUUUUUGAGCGCCACACCAAUAAAAAGCUUUACAAGAGGGUAUUUGCCCUGAUUUCUUUGACUUAAACUCAAAUCCAAGCUUCUUCUAUUUAUACAACUGUAAACACUGCUCUGAGUUUUAGGACAGUCACACUAUAUCAGAAGAGUGGUAGGGAGUGUUUGAACUAAUAAACUAAGUUUACUUAGUAUUGCAUAAAGUCAGUCUUAUCAAAUUACCCACAUUUGUUGCAUCAUAUAUAAAAUGUGCCGUCUGGAGCUGCUCACGCAAUUUCAGCAAAAGCUGCACUGAGCAACAUUAGCAUAUAAUUUAAAAAGAGGCCUUGGACAUUUUUACUCCCUAAUGAUAAAAAAAUAUGUAUUGAUUCUUGAUUUGUGCAAUAAUGUGAUUGCAAAGGAGAUAAUCAGAUCAUAUCUGAUGGAGGAUUUCGAAGGAGAACUCACAGCUCAGCAUCCAGGGGCGGCAGGAUACACGAGUGCCAUCUUCUGCUUCUGGAAAGUUUCACCCAUACAGUUUUCUGUUUUACAUGGGGCUUUCCCCCAUGUAGAUUUCAUUUGAAUAAAUAAAGUGAAAUAAAAUGACGAAUUAGUAAGAAAAAAAAUGGCAUAUUCAUCAUGUGUGGCACAGAGAAAGCAGCACGCCUCUCUUUAAUGCAAAUGAUAUUUUCACUUACUGAUGGGAUUGAGGUUCUGUCAGUGAAAGGAAGUAACCUUACAACUUAAAAUUAACUAUCAGAAUCUCUUAGUGAUCUUUCUGAGCUUUGUGACUGAUCUUUUAAUAUAUUUGCAUUGUGACAAGUGACUCAGCUUGUUUGCACUAUAGUAAAACAGCUUUUCACAUCAACUCAAAUUUACAGGCAGAAAGAAUCUUGCUAGAGAGGUACAUGGCUUUAUUUACUCUGUUUUUUUCUGAUAUAAACAGUACUGUGUAGAUUAGUCAGAGUCCACAUCCAGUUAGGUGAUACACCACAGAGUCUGAGCGGGUGUCAGUGUUUUCUGUCCUUCCCACCUUUAAAGCACAAGCAUCCUUGAAUUUCACCUUUUCUGUAGGGAGCCCUGUGUCUCUUCAGGAAAUAUGAAAGCAGAGAUUCUGUAAUUGCAGCCAGCAGUGUCCUAUUGGCUGCCUUGAUUGUACCUUAAUUCCUUCUUGGGGGUUAAAAUAUGUUCUUUCUUUUCAGCUUUGCUGAA